UAGGGAAUCUUCGGCAAUGGACGAAAGUCUGACCGAGCAACGCCGCGUGAGUGAAGAAGGUUUUCGGAUCGUAAAACUCUGUUGUUAGAGAAGAACAAGGACGUUAGUAACUGAACGUCCCCUGACGGUAUCUAACCAGAAAGCCACGGCUACUACCGGCCAGCAGCCGCGGUAAUACGUAGGUGGCAAGCGUUGUCCGGAUUUAUUGGGCGUAAAGCGAGCGCAGGCGGUUUCUUAAGUCUGAUGUGAAAGCCCCCGGCUCAACCGGGGAGGGUCAUUGGAAACUGGGAGACUUGAGUGCAGAAGAGGAGAGUGGAAUUCCAUGUGUAGCGGUGAAAUGCGUAGAUAUAUGGAGGAACACCAGUGGCGAAGGCGGCUCUCUGGUCUGUAACUGACGCUGAGGCUCGAAAGCGUGGGGAGCAAACAGG
rnacentral:rRNA from 1 species